CAUCAGAGUAGCAUAGCAGAAACAUCGCAUUGGUUCCGGUUAUUACAGUACAAUAGAUACAGCUCAAGACAAGCCUCGAGCGAUAACAACAAAAUAAUAUACAAACCCCAAAAGCUCAGCAAAUAUACAGCACACUAGAAAAUUCACAAGUGCUGCUACAGUUAUUACUACUACUCAUAUUAACGUUAUUGCUACUACUACAAAUACUACCGCUGCCACUGCUACUACCAUCACCACUACAUCAACUAUAUGAACCAUGCAUAUUAUACACUAAUUAUCAUAGUCAAUCUCAGCAUCAUCGUAGAGUCCUUCCCGGUUGUCAUCCAUAACGUGAGUUCCUUCACUUCCAGCCAUAUAUUCUUGUUCAACAGAUUCUAAUGAUUCAACAUCUAUAUACAAGGAAUUAACAUAGGGGAUGAGUACAAAUGGUACUCAACAAGCCCAUCAAUAGCAAGAAAUGUGUGAAUGCAACUAUCUCUAGAAUCCAAGAUUCUUCAAAGAAUUCAUAAUGUUUUUGACAAAUAUUUGUUGCAAAAAUUCAAAUUUUAAUUAUAAAACACUACUGCAUAUAAAGUACCACAGGGUAGAAUCUCCGAUAGAUCCCUUUCCUGCCGCGUUCGCAGUUUCUACCCGAAACAGGGAGUGACAUAUCACAAUUCAUACACUCUGCAGAGGUGUGUCGCUAUACCCAUAGACGCCUUAAACCUUUUAACGCCCGCGCUACACAGCCACCACGCCAGCGCCUAAGCACACUUCAUGGUGUAUGCCGGCAAGGAUAAGGUCACAAGCUUUUCAUCAAUCCCAUUUGGCAAUAAUCUCUGCGGGUGAUUUCUGCAACAACGGCGAAUCAUCGGAUUCCGCAACAACGGCGAUCCACAUCAUCUAAUCAGAUUCCGCAACAACGGCAACCCUCAUCGCUAGCCCACGCUCACGGGAUUCGCGGAAGUCCUUAAGCCCGCAGGAUAAAGCCAUUAAGAAAGAACUACUAAACCAGCCUGUCCCAUUCCAGGUCAUAUGGUCGACAUGAUCGCUACGGCGCUUGCAUACCUUACAGCAGUUGUUAAUUAACCUUAUGAUGUUAAGCAUAUACAGCUGAACCACACAACAACUAAGUUCAGACUGCCAAUUAUCAAGAUCACCAAAGAACUGAUCCACAGAUUCACAUGUACAAUAUUAACAUUCAAAAAUAAAUUUCUGGUUUUCUAUGCAAUGGGGAGAGAUAUAUAGGUUGCAAAUAUUUGAAAUAACUAAGCAAUAUGAUCAAGAGAUGGACUUGCCUGGAUAGAAAACACCAUGAAUACCCUCAGAUUCAGUCGAAAUGAAUGAUUCCUCAGGAACUUGAACUUCGGAAAAAAAAUACUGAAGUCCGAAUAAGGACAUAUUCCGAACGCUUAAUUUACCGCAUGCAAUGCAUAUGAAUUGUGUAUUAUGAAUGGCAAAUAUAAUGAUCAGGUGCUGUUAUAUAAAUUUAUUUUUCUCUGCUCAGAUUUUAUUUUAGCACUAAUGCCAAAAAUUUAGAAUCAUCAAUUUGUAUGCUAUAUAAACUUGCUCACAUUCUAUUCUAAAUCUAAAUCUAAUUUCCUGGAGACUAUAUAUGAUCAAUUUAGUCCAGCCCACAAAACCAAAGCCCAACCAGCCCACUUUCUUUCUUCUCAUCUUCUUCUCUCGUUAUCUCCUUCUCUCCCUCACGCCUUCUCUCCUGUGCCGCCAUCCCCAAACAGUGCCGUCAACACCAACGCUCUCCCUCAGGCCGGCUGCCACUCCCCACUCCGGCGAUCUCCCUAGCAGCUGCCCCUGCAGUGAUUUGUUCUCCCUAGUUCCCACGAGCUCAUAUCCUGCUUUACCUCCAUCCUCUACUACCACCUCUCCUCUCUCAAGUAAUCUGAGCAUUGCUGUCCUUCAUGACUAUUGGUACUCAACUCCUGUGGUGGUCGCCGUGGAGACGGCCAAUACCUCAAUGGCAACUGCGGCAGCCACAACCCUCACCACUUCUAUUGGUUGGUUGAUUCUACUGAAUCAGCGUCUCCUCCUUCAGCUGGGGUACCUGUUCCUAAUGGAGCUGGAGCCCCUGCUCCACCUGUUGUUGGGUGAUUUUGCCCUCUUGUAUUUUUCUUUUCUUCUCUAACUCUCUGGUUAUGGUGGUUCUUCUUGCUACUGGUUUUGGUCUCUACGAGGAAAACGAGGCUCGGUCAGGAUGGAGUUCACACUGAUAUGGUUUUUGUCACAGGGACAUGGUUGACUACUAGGUGACUCACCUACUAAGGUUUUACUGGUGGUCUCCCUGUUUGACACCUAAGCAUGGUUUAUUCGGUGGAGGCUCAGCAUAAUUUUUCACAGAUUUGCAAUUAAAUAAAAAUCUAGUGAAAAGUAUGAUAUUUGUAACUUUUGCAUUAUAGUACCAUAGACUUUAAAAAUAUGGAGAUUACUUUGAGUUUAGGGACUGAUUUUCAAUUGCCCAAAAACUCACAGUUUACCUAAGAAAUAAAUAGUUUUGGAAGCUACUAAGAGAUGGCUAAUGUUACUAAUUUUGUGCCCCAAAAUGGUUUGAUUGCAAAAUAUGUGACAUCAAGCAACUCUAAAUUUUCUCUUUUGCCUAAAUCUUAUAUUUAAAAUCUCCUAAAGCAAUAAGGUGUGGUCACAGAUCACACCAACAUUUUUAUUUAAUUUUCAUUAUUUCUAUUUUAGAUGAAUAAUGUAUGAGAUGCGUUUGAUGUAUGCAACAACACUGUAUAAUGUAUAUGUGAAGAAAUAAAGAAUUUACUUAUGUGUCUAA